CCUACGGGCGGCAGCAGUGGGGAAUAUUGGACAAUGGGGGAAACCCUGAUCCAGCGACGCCGCGUGAGUGAAGAAGUACUUCGGUACGUAAAGCUCUAUCAGCAGGAAAGAAAAUGACGGUACCUGACUAAGAAGCCCCGGCUAACUACGUGCCAGCAGCCGCGGUAAUACGUAGGGGGCUAGCGUUAUCCGGAUUUACUGGGUGUAAAGGGAGCGUAGGUGGUUGCCAAAGUCGGAGGUGAAAGGCCGGGGCCAAACCCGAGUACGCCCUUGAAAAUGGGGAACUUGAGUGCAGGAGAGGUGAGUGGAAUUCCUGGUGUAGCGGUGAAAUGCGUAGAUAUCAGGAGGAACACCAGCGGCGAAGGCGGCUUUCUGGACUGUAACUGACGUUGAGGCACGAAGGCGUGGGGAGCAAACAGGAUUAGAUACCCUAGUAGUC
rnacentral:rRNA from 1 species